AGAGUUUGAUCCUGGCUCAGAUUGAACGCUGGCGGCAUGCCUUACACAUGCAAGUCGAACGGUAACGCGGGGCAACCUGGCGACGAGUGGCGAACGGGUGAGUAAUGUAUCGGAACGUGCCCAGUUGUGGGGGAUAACUGCUCGAAAGAGCAGCUAAUACCGCAUACGACCUGAGGGUGAAAGCGGGGGAUCGCAAGACCUCGCGCAAUUGGAGCGGCCGAUAUCAGAUUAGGUAGUUGGUGGGGUAAAGGCUCACCAAGCCAACGAUCUGUAGCUGGUCUGAGAGGACGACCAGCCACACUGGGACUGAGACACGGCCCAGACUCCUACGGGAGGCAGCAGUGGGGAAUUUUGGACAAUGGACGCAAGUCUGAUCCAGCCAUGCCGCGUGCGGGAAGAAGGCCUUCGGGUUGUAAACCGCUUUUGUCAGGGAAGAAACGCUCUGGGUUAAUACCUCGGGGUAAUGACGGUACCUGAAGAAUAAGCACCGGCUAACUACGUGCCAGCAGCCGCGGUAAUACGUAGGGUGCAAGCGUUAAUCGGAAUUACUGGGCGUAAAGCGUGCGCAGGCGGUUAUGCAAGACAGAGGUGAAAUCCCCGGGCUCAACCUGGGAACUGCCUUUGUGACUGCAUAGCUAGAGUACGGUAGAGGGGGAUGGAAUUCCGCGUGUAGCAGUGAAAUGCGUAGAUAUGCGGAGGAACACCGAUGGCGAAGGCAAUCCCCUGGACCUGUACUGACGCUCAUGCACGAAAGCGUGGGGAGCAACAGGAUUAGAUACCCUGGUAGUCCACGCCCUAAACGAUGUCAACUGGUUGUUGGGAGGGUUUCUUCUCAUUAACGUAGCUAACGCG
rnacentral:rRNA from 1 species